GACGAACGCUGGCGGCGUGCUUAACACAUGCAAGUCGAACGGAAAGGCCCUGCUUUUGUGGGGUGCUCGAGUGGCGAACGGGUGAGUAACACGUGAGUAACCUGCCCUUGACUUUGGGAUAACUUCAGGAAACUGGGGCUAAUACCGGAUAGGAGCUCCUGCUGCAUGGUGGGGGUUGGAAAGUUUCGGCGGUUGGGGAUGGACUCGCGGCUUAUCAGCUUGUUGGUGGGGUAGUGGCUUACCAAGGCUUUGACGGGUAGCCGGCCUGAGAGGGUGACCGGGCACAUGGGGACUGAGAUACGGACCAGACGCCUACGGGAGGCAGCAGUGGGGAAUAUUGCACAAUGGGCGGAAGCCUGAUGCAGCAACGCCGCGUGCGGGAUGACGGCCUUCGGGUUGUAAACCGCUUUCGCCUGUGACGAAGCGUGAGUGACGGUAAUGGGUAAAGAAGCACCGGCUAACUACGUG
rnacentral:rRNA from 1 species